ensembl:misc_RNA RNase_MRP RNase MRP
GUUCGUGCUGAAGGCCUGUUUCCUAGGCCACAGACGGAGGACUUGUUCCUUAAUCCAUGCCUAGGGGAAAGUCCCCGGACCGCCGGCAGAGAGUGCCACGUGCACAUGCACGUAGACCUUCCCUGCUUCUCACUGUUAAAACCGCCAAGAAGCAACCCCGCCUGCGGGGCAGCCGAGCGGCGUGUAGCAGGGUCGUCGUCCGUCAGCUAUUCUAGUGACGCAGGCAGUGCGCUUUUCCGCGCACCAACCACACGGGGCUCAUUCUCGGCGCGAC